rnacentral:rRNA from 1 species
AUUGAACGCUGGCGGCAGGCCUAACACAUGCAAGUCGAACGAGGGGCGGACGGGUGAGUAAUGUCUGGGAAACUGCCCUAGGGAGGGGGAUAAAUACUGGAACCGGUAGCUAAUACCGCAUACCAUCGGAUGUGCCCAGAUGGGAUUGGCUGGUAGGUGGGGGAAUGGCUCACCUAGGCGACGAUCCCGAGCUGGUCUGAGAGGAUGACCGGCCACCUUGGAACUGAGACACGGUCCAGACUCCUACGGGAGGCAGCAGUGGGGAAUAUGGCACAAUGGGCGGAAGCCUUAUGCAGCCAUGCCGCGUGUAUGAAGAAGGCCUUCGGUUUGUAAAGUACUUUCAGCGGUGAGGCGUUACCCGCAGAAGAAGCACCGGCUAACUCCGUGCCAGCAGCCGCGGUAAUUC